GGUGGGACUUCUAAAUACAUUACCACAAUCAUGACUAGGUCGGUUGGUGGGACUUCUAAAUACAUUACCACAAUCAUGACUAGGUCGGUUGAUGGGACUUCUAAAUACAUUACCACAAUCAUGACUAGGUCGGUUGCAGGAAAUAAAAGUACAUGCUUUGUUGCUGGAAAUAUCUUUCAGAUAUUAAGAAAAGUUAGCAAAAUGCUGUCGGGAUGCUGACGUUGGCUAAGAACGUCUUGAUUUGAAAGGUGGAAGAGAGACAGAGAGAGUCCCCAUCAACUGUUGCUCAGCAUUAUUGACGGACUGAUCAAUGGAUUAGUUAUUGAUCCAGGACCGUUUGACAUGUAGAGGGAGUUAAUUGUAUUUCCAAGAAGGAUGGGAGGUGGGCCAGGAUCAUCUUUGACUUAUUUGACUCUAUCCUGAUAGGGAGAGAUAGGUGUCUCAUUUGACACUUCAGCGAUCUCCUACAAUGUAAUACCUGAGCUGGGAGCUGACAAUCCCCAGUGUGUGUGUGAGUGUGUGUUCCCCAGAGAAUAUCUGUCCUCUGAUGGGGAUCGGAGUGGAUCAAUAAGCAAUGAUAGACUUCUGCCUUCCAUUCAGCUAAUCCUGUUAGUGAUAGCAGUGGAUGUAAUCGAAUGGUGACACACACACAGAGACAAGGUAGAUGUGUGGACACACAGAGAGACAAGGUAGAUGUGUGGACACACAGAGAGACAAGGUAGAUGUGUGGACACACAGAGAGACAAGGUAGAUGUGUGGACACACAGAGAGACAAGGUAGAUGUGUGGACACACAGAGAGACAAGGUAGAUAUGUGUGGACACACACAGAGACAAGGUAGAUGUGUGGACACACACAGAGACAAGGUAGAUGUGUGGACACACACAGAGACAAGGUAGAUGUGUGGACACACACACAGCACGCACAGAGGCAGGCAGGCACACAAGCAUGUACAUACACACAUAUUAUGAUCAUUAAACACAGGAACCUUUGAUAUGGAGAUCAGUAAAACUAUGGGAGGCACUGCAGAAAGGGACACCCUUGAAAUAGCACAUCUUGACACAUGUAUCAGUGAUAACCACACGCAGCCUAUGAGUCUCACACAUAUCUGUAAUGAUUCCGGAUUCAAAUUUUGAUCUCCAUUUUGAAGAGGGGGACAUAAUAAAAGUGAACACCAACUGUUCCUGUAUGAAGGUACAUCAAGGGAACACUUCUGAUAUGACAUAAUCCUAUCCGCUCCACGUCUCUCCUCC
ensembl:lncRNA